rnacentral:rRNA from 1 species
GAUGAACGCUGGCGGCGUGCUUAACACAUGCAAGUCGAACGAUGAAGCCCAGCUUGCUGGGUGGAUGAGUGGCGAACGGGUGAGUAACACGUGAGUAACCUGCCCUUAACUCUGGGAUAAGCCUGGGAAACUGGGUCUAAUACCGGAUAGGAGCGCCUACCGCAUGGUGGGUGUUGGAAAGAUUUAUCGGUUGUGGAUGGACUCGCGGCCUAUCAGCUUGUUGGUGAGGUAAUGGCUCACCAAGGCGACGACGGGUAGCCGGCCUGAGAGGGUGACCGGCCCAACUGGGACUGAGAAACGGCCCAGACUCCUACGGGAGGCAGCAGUGGGGAAUAUUGCACAAUGGGCGAAAGCCUGAUGCAGCGACGCCGCGUGAGGGAUGACGGCCUUCGGUUUGUAAACCUCUUUCAGUAGGGAAGAAGCGAAAGUGACGGUACCUGCAGAAGAAGCACCGGCUAACUACGUG